rnacentral:tRNA from 1 species
GCCUGGUGGCUCAGUUGGUUGAGCGUCUGACUUCAGCUCAGGUCACGAUCUCACGGUUCGUGAGUUCAAGCCCCGCAUUGGGCU